UUCCGGUUGAUCCCGCCGGAGGCUACCGCUAUUGGAGUUCGAUUAAGCCAUGCGAGUCGAGAGUCUUAGGGACUCGGCGCACCGCUCAGUAACACGUGGGUAACCUGCCCUAUGCUUGGGAAUAACCUCGGGAAACUGAGAAUAAUGCCCAAUAGUCCACUACGCCUGGAACGGUGAGUGGAUCAAAGCCCCGGCGGCAUAGGAUGGGCCUGCGCCGUAUCAGGUUGUAGGGGGUGUAAAGUACCCUCUAGCCAUCAACGCGUACGGGUGUUGGGAGACAUUGCCCGGAGAUGGAUUCUGAGACACGAAUCCAGACCCUACGGGGUGCAGCAGGCGCGAAAACUUGGCAAUGCGAGCAAUCGUGACCAGGGAACUCCAAGUGCGUAGGGUAAGACCUACGCUUUUCUUGACUCUACAAAGGUCUUGGAAUAAGGGGUGGGUAAGGACGGUGCCAGCCGCCGCGGUAAUACCGGCGCCUCAAGUGGUAGUCGCUUUUAUUGGGCCUAAAACGUCCGUAGCCGGUCUGGUGCAUUCGUGGGUAAAUCAACCCGCUCAACGGGUUGAAUUCUGCGAGCACGGCCAGACUUGGGACCGGGAGAGGUGUGGGGUACUUUCGGGGUAGGGGUAAAAUCCUGUCAUCCCGAAAGGACCACCUGUUGCGAAGGCGCCACACUAGAACGGAUCCGACGGUCAGGGACGAAACCUAGGGGCACGAACCGGAUUAGAUACCCGGGUAGUCCUAGGUGUAAACGCUGUGGACUUGAUGUUGGGGGUGCUCCGAGCUCCCUCAGUGUCGAAGCGAAGGUGAUAAGUCCACUGCCUGGGGAGUACGGUCGCAAGGCUGAAACUUAAAGGAAUUGGCGGGGGAGCACUGCAACCUGAGGAUUGUGCGGUUUAAUUGGAUUCAACGCCGGA
rnacentral:rRNA from 1 species